GAUGAACGCUGGCGGCGUGCCUAAUACAUGCAAGUCGAGCGAACAGACGAGGAGCUUGCUCCUCUGAUGUUAGCGGCGGACGGGUGAGUAACACGUGGAUAACCUACCUAUAAGACUGGGAUAACUUCGGGAAACCGGAGCUAAUACCGGAUAACAUGUUGAACCGCAUGGUUCAACAGUGAAAGACGGUCUUGCUGUCACUUAUAGAUGGAUCCGCGCCGCAUUAGCUAGUUGGUAAGGUAACGGCUUACCAAGGCAACGAUGCGUAGCCGACCUGAGAGGGUGAUCGGCCACACUGGAACUGAGACACGGUCCAGACUCCUACGGGAGGCAGCAGUAGGGAAUCUUCCGCAAUGGGCGAAAGCCUGACGGGGCAACGCCGCGUGAGUGAAGAAGGUCUUCGGAUCGUAAAACUCUGUUAUUAGGGAAGAACAAAUGUGUAAGUAACUAUGCACGUCUUGACGGUACCUAAUCAGAAAGCCACGGCUAACUACGUG
rnacentral:rRNA from 1 species